UCAGCCUCUGAGAAAAUAGAUUUAAUAUUCAAAUAAGCAAGACAGACUACACAGUGGCUUGCAAUCAUCAGAGAGAAGACAAAUAUAGUAGUUGAUCAUUUACAGACAUAUGAAGUUUAGGUUUUUUUCCCAGCAGCUCUACAGAGAUGACAUGAAAAAUUCACAUUCCUAUCAUAUUCAAACAUGCAUAAAUUACUGUACAGACAUAGAGCCGAAGGCUGAGGUGACUUGAUUCUCACUAAGGCACCCGUGAUUAAAUCCUCUACCAUCAGUGUGCAUAAAAGAACUAGCUAAAUUUGGUUUAUUUAGGUGGUUACUGUCAUGUAUGAUCUUUUUAUUACAGGCUGAUUUCCCAGACUGAGAGCAUUGUUGUUUGUUAAUUAGAAAAAGAAAGUUAUUGUUGAAAACAAGACUGUAACCUAUUAAAAAAGGGCUACAGAGUAAGUAUUUGCUGUAAACUACAGUGUGAGGCAAUAUAACAAGAAAACUAUAUUAACAAAAGAAAAACAAAGAUUUGUAACUUUUUAAGAAAAUCUGUCUUGUACUCUGUAUAUAACUGAUCAAAUAAAUGGUUAAUUGCCUUGUUAGAAAAAGGAAGGCCAUCACAGCGCUGACGCUGCACCAGUAAAAGACAAACUGCUUUGGCUGAGACACGUUUUUAGCAGUGCUUUCCUCAAACACUCAGGAAAACUGGAAAACACAAAAUCAUAUCAAAAUCAACAGGGGAAAAAAAAGAAACAAACAAACAGAACAGUUAGAUUAACCAAUAUCCAAGACAUUUAUGACACUAAAAAUAUGAUUUUAAUUAGUAAGGAGAUAAUACUUUAGUAGAAAUUGGGAUAAACACAUCUUAACCUCCUAACACUCACUGGCUGUUUGGGGAUCUGUCGAGUGCAAAUUUUUACAAAAAUUUUUCCUACACUUUUGACACCUUGGUUUGAAUGACUGUUAACAUCAACUUUAGAGCAUCGUUAGCUGAAGCAACAUAGGCAAUUAUGCUAAAUGUGUGUGUGUGUUGCUUAGGCAGCUAUGCUGCCAAAUGUUGCAUCUAUGAGCAGGGGCGCCUCCAGAAUUUUUUUUCCGUAGGGGUGGCCACUAAAAAUAUUGGGGUGGCACACCAAAAACCGAACUUACGUUUUGUUAUGCUGUUGUCAAAUAUAGGUUACUUGAAAAAUAUUGUGCGGGGUGGGAGUCACAACAGGAAAUACGAAUGACAAAUAUUAUAUAUGCCGGAAUAAAAGUUAAUGUUUCACCUUAUUGUAUUAUUGUAUGGUCUUCC
ensembl:lncRNA